GCCUGGGUGGCUCAGUCGGUUGAGCAUCCGACUUCGGCUCAGGUCACGAUCUCACGGUUUGUGGGUUCGAGCCCCGCAUCGGGCU
rnacentral:tRNA from 1 species